AGAGUUUGAUCAUGGCUCAGGACGAACGCUGGCGGCGGCCUAAUACAUGCAAGUCGAGCGAGAACCGGGGCUUCGGCCCCGGGGAGAGCGGCGAACGGGUGCGUAUCACGUGAGCAACCUGCCUCGGAGACCGGAAUAACUCGAGGAAACUCGGGCUAAUGCCGGAUGCCCUCGGUGGACCGCAUGGCCGGCGAGGAAAUGGAUUCCGCUCCGAGAUGGGCUCGCGGCCUAUCAGCUUGUUGGUGGGGUAACGGCCUACCAAGGCGACGACGGGUAGCUGGUCUGAGAGGACGAUCAGCCACACUGGGACUGAGACACGGCCCAGACUCCUACGGGAGGCAGCAAUAGGGAAUCUUGCGCAAUGGGGGAAACCCUGACGCAGCGACGCCGCGUGCGGGAUGAAGGCCUUCGGGUCGUAAACCGCUUUCAGCAGGGACGAAAUUGACGGUACCUGCAGAAGAAGGCCCGGCCAACUACGUGCCAGCAGCCGCGGUGAUACGUAGGGGUCUAGCGUUGUCCGGAAUUAUUGGGCGUAAAGAGCUCGUAGGCGGUUCGGCAAGUCGGAUGUGAAAUCUCCACGCUUAACGUGGAGGGGCCAUUCGAAACUGCCGUGACUCGAGUCCGGUAGGGGAGUUCGGAAUUCCCGGUGUAGCGGUGAAAUGCGCAGAUAUCGGGAGGAACACCAGUGGCGAAGGCGGAACUCUGGGCCGGAACUGACGCUGAGGAGCGAAAGCGUGGGGAGCGAACAGGAUUAGAUACCCUAGUAGUCC
rnacentral:rRNA from 1 species